rnacentral:sRNA from 1 species
UCCUAACACCCAUAAUAUGCAGAAAAAA